rnacentral:snRNA from 1 species
AUAUUUACCCGGCAGAGGAGAUACCACAGUCAUGAAGAUGAUUUACCCAGGGGGAGGUUUAUCCAUUGUGCUGAACCCUACAAUUUCCCAAAUGUGGGAAACUCAAUUGCCUAAUUUGUGGUAGUGAGGAACUGUGCUCACAUUCUCUCC